GUCACUAUGAAGGAUGUGGAAAGGUUUCAAAAAUAAAAUUUUUAUGCCUUUUUAUUUUGUUUGUCCAAGGAUAUUAUGCUUGCUUAAUAAAACCAUGAAAAUUGAAAUGCAAUUCAUAGUUUCAAAGUUCUAUUUUACUAUUUUCAUUUUUCUGUAUUAUGGUGUACAGGAGUUAAAAGGUUUGUAUCUUUAUUUUGCAGAAAUUUUUAGAUAGUUCAAAGUUGAAAAGACACUUCUUAAUUCAUACAGGUGAAAGAGAUUUUGUUUGUCCUCAUGAAGGCUGUGGUAAGGUGAUAAAUUAAUUUACCCUUCUAUUUUUCUCUUAUUUUCUUUGUGGCUUUUUUCUUUUCUUUUCUUUUUU
rnacentral:misc_RNA from 1 species